rnacentral:lncRNA from 1 species
AAUGGAGGAACAUUCUGCAGGCUCUUCAUUCAUGUGCACUGGUCCUCCCUUUUUCCCUGUCCACCUGAAACCUUUUUUAGCUCCAGGUUCAUGAGAAACUAUCUGCUCCUGUGAAGCAACAAUCCUUCGGCACUUCUUGCAGCGAUAGAUGAUUUGAGGUAUUGGCUCGGAUCUACAAUCUAAACUACUUGAUUCCUCCAUUGCAACAGUUUUCAAAUUUUAGUUGUACUAAAUGAAAUUGAAUGAGGAGAAUUAGCAAGACCAGUUAAACUUCAAACAUUAGCCAAGUGAGAAAAUAAAGACCCUCUUGUAAAAUUAAUAAAUAGACAAAUAAACUAUAAGUAGAUAACUUACACUGAAAAUUUAAAAUGCGUCUACAUAGUAUAUGUCCAGUUAGAUCAUUACCACGCAAAGAACAAUCAAUUAUUACUUCAAUCAGAAAUGGUAAACUUCAAACAUUUAUAUUUCAAUUUAUAUAUGCCACGUUGAAGAACAACAACAGUAUAAAGAAGCAACUUUUACCUAAAUUAUUCAGAGGUUAGCCGAAUUUAAUUAGUUAGGAUCUAAGCUUUAUAAUGCACCCGAGAUUCUUCCAGGCAUAACAUAAAAAUAAUAACUGGGAGAAAAGUCACAAAUAGCAAAGGUUCCAUAGGAAACACCUAACCAAGAAGAGGCACAAUCCACUGCAGAUUGAUGGAAACUUUGAAGGAACAAAAGAAGUUUAGCUAUACGACAACUUAAACUACAAAUAAAGUAAUAUAUAAAAAUCAACAACACCAACAAUGCCUCCUGAAAAUAUAUCAAGAGUCAUACCGCUGAUGUUGGAUGUGCAAUUUAUGGAACAAAAGUAAGUAGUUUAAGUUCACAAAAUGCAAGCAUUUAAGUCAUAUUUAACAUCCCUUUUCCAAUCUUUUUCAGUUGUUUUGAUUGCUACCUAAAACAUAUAAAUCAAUGAUUGAUCAAUCUACACUGCUGACAAGCAAUCUACUACUCACCCUUCUCAGAUACAAUAAGAUGCCCUAGGGUGCAUAAUGGCUACAUUAGUUACUAUAUUCUUACACAAGAUAUAUAGUAGAAGGCACAGUAAAAUCAUAUAUCACUUUCUAAUCUAACUUCAUACACAAGAUGACUCAACUUAAAAUAAAGCCAGCUCUGCCCAACUUCAAGAAAAAAUCAAAUCUUCCAGUUAAUUUAUGCUUUAUAGUUAUUUUCCCUAUUAAUGAAGUAACGUGGCCAAAGAACACAAAUCUGAUGAAGCUUGGCAGCAACCAAAUGUUGACAUCAAAAAAAAAUACACAAUCCCCUUCUGUCAAAUUUCUCUUCUAAUUAGCAAUUCGAUAAAGUAUGAAUAUCCUAAUACCACCAAUACAAGUAUCGUCUACAAAGUACUGUUUAUAAAUUAUUAUUCAAGAAAAAGCACCAAACUUUAGCGUGUACGAUAAAUGAGUUCAGCAUAAUAAACAUCCUAUAAGGUGGACUAUCUCAUACAACCGAUCAAAUAGCAAUUCUUGCAUAUAUUAAUCAUUCUUAUUUGUACAAACCUAGGCAAAACUAAAAAUAACCACUUUUCUGUAUUAUUUUUCCAAGACUUUAAACAACUAAUUAUGACAACCCCUCUUUCUGAAACACAAGUAAAGAUCAAACUCCUAGAACAUAAGUAUCAGAUACAAAGAAACAGGGCUUCUAUGCAUGUCACUUAAACAAACAAGAAAAACCCAUUAUAGUUAUCAGUAAAUAUAAAUCACUUCUACACAUAUUCAUCAUGUCUAUUACUCCUACAUGAUUAGUACUUAAAAAAACAUAAUCAAGCCCAGGAUUUUGCACAACAACAAAAACAUACAAACAGAGACUGUGUGUACUAUAUAUAGAGACAACAUCAGUAAUAAACAUGGGAAAAGGACAGGUGGGAUCAUAAGCUUACCUUGUAAUAAGCAUGAGGAAUUGGCGUCGAGUCUGUAGUAGUAUUAAGCAAUCUCCUAAAGAGUUUAAUAAAGUUUAUGAUUCUGUUGGGGAUGGGAUGGGAAGACAUGUGUAACGACGUCGUUGCGAUGUACUUAAGAUGGACUGGACUUCGUUAUUGGUCUUUCUGGACUUGUGAUGGGCUGCUCUUGAAGUGAGCUGAUCUGCUCAGAGUUAUUGUUUUCUCAGCUAAUUAGCCCAGAGUUUAUUCUCAGCCUUUUUUAUUUAUUUAUUUAUUUAAUCUAGAGUUAAUUUGUUUGGUAAAUAGCAUGGUUUUAAAAAUCAUAGAUGUAAAGUGUUGAUUUUUCGCAUCUGACAAAUUAUUAUGUGUAUAUCUAUAUAGUUAAAUAAUUAUAAAAGGCGUAAUAUAAUAUGAAUUAUUAUAUUAUAAUAAUCAUAUACCUAUAAUCAAGUUAGUAAAAAAGUAAAUCAGUUUAACUCGAUUUUAUUUUAAAAAUUAGUACUCGAAAAUCGGAAAGUCCUCGAAGAAUUAUCUGGAUAUUUUAUUCUCUCAUAUUUAAAAUUUAUUUCAAUAAAAUUAUAAGUGUACUUUAAACUUAAAACAUUAACAAUAAUAAUGUUUUAUUAUAUAAUAUAUAGGUCAAUUAUAUACUAAUAAUAUUAAUAAUUUAUUAAUAAAAAGUCAUAUUACUGAUAAUACGUUAAUAAUAAUUGAGCUAAUUAUACAUUACCUAUUUAUUAAUUUUUGAUAAAAUAAUAAAAUAAUUUUAAUAGUCAACUACAAAUAAUAUCCCUUUUAUUGUCAUAACUAAAAAUAAUAUCUCUAACCAUUCACAUAUUUCCGAUUUCGAGAAUUUGGAGUAAAGCCAAGUCUUGCGGUAUUUUCUCAGAUUUUGCACGCGUGAAUUUUUACGAAAUUAUUUACAAAAUCAAUUUUUUUUUUUUUUUUUAGAAUUUGAUUACCCAGAACUCGGAUCACUCAGUACUCGACCUGACUCCUGACUCUUAACACAACUCAAAAAUUAUCAAAAAAGAAGAGUACAUUACGGCUGAAUUGAAGCUUAUUUUCGUGGAAAAAGAAACCCGGGUGAAGUUAAGAAUGGUGCAUGACAUACUUAGAUUUAGGAAAAUAAUGAAAAGUAUAUCGAAAAAUGUCAAUAUAUUUGGUGAAAAAAAUAAUGUAAUUUUUUAAUUUUUUUAUUAAAUCGAACCACUAAUCCGAUUGGCAUACUAUCACACCUAUACCUACUAGUAUGAUAGCCUAUCCAAAAAAAUCGAACUUAUAACCCUAAUAAUAUAAAGAUAUAAUAUAAUACUAGCCUUUAACCCGUGCGAAGCACGGGCGGGUAUAUAUAGUUCGUAAUUUAUUAUUUAUAAUUUAAUUUUAACAUCAUUUUAUUAGUAUUUUAGUAUUAACGGAUUGAAUUUUAAUUAAAUUAUAUUAUUCAACUGACUAUAUUUUCACCCGAUUACUUGAAAAUGGACAAACCCUAAUACACACACAGUAUUUUAGUACAUUUAAUCCGAAUUUAGUAACGUAGAUUUAAAUAUAAAAAAAAUCAGAAAAUUUAAAUCUUUUCCGAACAUAACCGUCGUGUAAUACCUUUGAAAGAUUUAGUAAAUUAGUCGAAUUUCAACAUAAUUUUGUAAUUUUGGUUUUUUGACAACAAUAACUUUUAAGAUUAGAGUUGGAAAGGGUUAUAUAAUGGUUCGUGUUUAUAUUGAGAUAAAACACGUUAAAGUUAUAAAGAGUUAUACGAAGGUUCUUAUUAAAAGAAGAUAUUUAAAAUUGUAUAUUUAUAAUUUUAUUUAUAACAUCAUUAUAAUUUUUUUAAUAAAACAUUAUAUGAUAAUGGAUUGUUAUGAGUGUUUUUAGGAUUUGAAACUGUUUAACAAUAUAAUACUAAUAGAAUCUAGAUUUGUAGACUUGUAGCACUAAAAGAAGAGUACCAAAGCAAAAAAUAUAACUAAAACUUUGGAUUACAAUUAUAACCAUGGCUUAUAGUAGGAGUGUCGAAUGCGGGAAGAAGUAACUGCAUAGCCCAAAUCAGCCGAUCAAGAUACGUGGACAGUUACAACAAGUCCACUAGUCAAUACUAAGUCAUGCAGUCAAUCUGAGCGCGAUUUACGUUGAAUUUAGUAUAAUUACAAGAUUUUUAAAACUAUUUUUUUGUUGAGCACGGUUAGAUAAUUCAAAAUUAAAAACUUAUCCUUUGUUGUUCUAAAUUUUAGAUUGUCUCUCAAUCAAUCGAGAAUUUAUUAAAAUAAAUAUUUAUUUCAAAUUUAUCUAUCAUCUCCGACUUCUGUAACCCUUAAUGUAGAGACCAAAUUUUCUACUAAAUUUAUAUUUUAUUUAUGACAUGCUAACUUAAAUUAUUUUUCAAUAUUCAACUUAAUAUAUAUAUAUAUAUAAUAUUUUUUAAAUACAUAAUAUUAUAAUAUACAAAUAUGUUCAUGAUUAUUAUAUGUAUUAACGUACUUUUUGUAUUUUUAAUCUAUAAAGUUAUAAUAUUGUGUAAUAUUAUUAAGUGUAAAAAUAUUAUUUUAAUAAUUAACUAAAUUUAUGUAAUUCUAAUAUAAUAAGAUGUUUUUUUUAUCAUAACAAAUAUUUAUAUUUAUUUUAUAAUGUUUACUCUAAAAUGUUGUAUAAAAAUGUUAUAAUAUUAUCAUUAAAUAUCUUUUUAUUAAAUAUGUUAUUUUGUUUUACAUAAAUCUAAUGAUUAUAGCUAACAAUAUGUGUUUUAAUAUUUUAUAAGAUGUGUUUUACUUAUAACAUUUAUUUAUUUUUAUUUUAUAAUGUUUACUUCAAAAUAUUGAAAUAAAUAUUAAAUUGUUAUGAUAUUAUCAUUAAAUAUCUUUUUAUUAACUAUGUUAUUUUGUUUUCUCUAAUAUAUAAUAAAAUUAGUUAAUUUUAUUAAAAUUUAUUUUAAAAUAAAAAAAUAUGUUACAUAUAACUAAUGAUUAUAACUAAUACCACCUAAUCCUCACAUGUUUAAUAAAAUAAAAUCUAAUACUAUUUUCCAGGUGCCUGGGCGAAUACAUAUGUGGGCCUUAACCAACAAAAAUAUCCAGCGAUAUGAUUAUAACUUACGUCAUUUAUUCGAUAUUUUUUACCCUUAAUUUAUAAAGUCUAAGCAGUUAAAAGGCGUCGGAUUUAUUAAAAUUUUAUUUUAAUUCUGACGGUGAGGAAAAUGUCUUGCUCUUGGAGAUGCUGUCCGGUGGAAAAUUAAAAACUAGGACUCAUCUAGUCAUCUUAAUCUUCCUAUAAAUGAGCUGCAUGCAUGCAUUGUAGACUACACAAAUUAUUACUACUAAGCUUAGUGAGUCUGGUUAAGUACACUGUGCUAUGGCUUCUCAAUAUGCCUUGUGCAUGGCUCUUUUCUUGUUGAUCAUGGGAAUUCUGCUGCCCUCCGAGGUUUCCUCGUCUCGGUCCGGACCGCACCUCGGAAAAACCAUGUUCGAAAGGCAUCAAGAAUGGAUGCUUCAGCACGCUCGGGUGUACAAAGAUGCCAUGGAGAAAGAGGCGAGGUUCAAGAUUUUUAAGGAAAAUGUGGAGCGUAUCAAAGCUUUUAAUAGCGAUCCAAAUAGAGGAUUUAAACUAGCUGUUAAUCACUUUGCCGAUUUAACCGAUGAGGAGUUUCGAGUUAUUCAUGCCAGUGGUUACAACAGAAGCAUGAUAAGGACAGCGCCGUUCUCGGGUUCCUCAGUAAGGCCGGAAUUUAACUAUGGACGCCGUAAUAAUUUUAAGUAUGCAAAUGUACAGGGGGUUCCGCCUAGUGUGGACUGGCGAGACAAAGGGGCAGUCACGCCUGUCAAGAAUCAAGGAUCAUGUGGUAAGUGUUUCGGGUUUUGUUAAUUAUUUUCCUAUCGUGUCCUGUUUCAGAGUGGGACAUAUCGAGUAUGUUUAUAACUGGUUUUUAAUUGUGAAUGUUUGUGAAUAGGUGACUGCUAUGCAUUUGCAUCUAUUGCUGCUGUAGAAGGUCUUAAUGCAAUUGCAACUGGACAACUAGUCUCAUUAUCUGAACAAGAGAUACUGGACUGUGACCAAUCAAACAACCACUGCAAUGGUGGUGCCAUGGAGAACACUUACGACUUCAUUGGGGAAAAUGGUGUCACCACCGAAUCAGAGUAUCCGUACAGAGAACAACAAGGCUACUGCAAAAAUGCUGCGUCAAAUCCAGCUGUUCAGAUCGGUGGAUACGAAGAUGUUCCUAGAAACAGCGAAACUCAAAUGCUUUUAGCUGUGGCGAAUCAGCCCAUUUCAGUUGCUGUCGCUGGUGGUGAUUAUUACUUCAGAUAUUACAACAGUGGUAUUAUGGAUAUGGAAUGCAGCACGGGCACUGAUCACGCGGUUGCAGUUGUGGGCUAUGGUGCGACAGAUGACGGACGUAAGUAUUGGAUUGCCAAGAACUCCUGGGGCACAAACUGGGGAGAAAAUGGAUAUAUCUACCUAGCCAGAGAUGUUGGAGAUCCUCAAGGCCUCUGUGGCAUUGCCACUAAUCCGGCGUACCCUACUAUGUGAAAGGGCUGGAACAUACAUAUGUUAUCCUCGUCAUAAUUAUUCUACACUAAGCUCUUAUAUAUGGUGUAUAAUUCUAUUAAUGAAAAUGAGCAUGGCUCCAUGUGCAAAUUAUAUAUGAACAUGUGGAUCCUAAACAUAGGUGCUCACCACAAUACUUGUACCUUCAUAAUUUCUUCAGAAACGACAUUGCCCUGGAGAGUGGCCAGUUAUAGAAAAACUAUCUUCUUCCGAGUCCAAAAGUCGAGCCAAUAUAGACCUUUUAUCAGCAAUUCAAAAACUAAUGAUAUACUCUACAAAUUGAUGCAGUAAACUCUUUGCAAAAGUUAAACAGAGUUAUUCAGUUAAUAUAAGAAAAUGUCAGCGCUAAUAGGAGUUACAAAAUAUAGAAUUAAAUUAGUACCUAAGAGCAGAUUUUUUUUAUGAUUAUAGAUCAGAUCAACAAUAAUGAUAAGAUCCCGCGGUAACUAUAUGUACUACUAUUGUUUUUAGCAUCCUGGAUACUCCCUCUGUCUCAUAAUAAGCGUCGCUUUGAUUUUUAACACGUAAUUUGAGGUGUAAAAAAAACAUAAUUCUACAUAUUAUUUUUUUCCAAAUAAAAAUUUAACAUCUAUAUUUUUAUUCAGAUAAAGAAAAUUUAAAAAAUAAUAUAUAAAAAUAUGUUUUGUUUACACCACAAAUUACGUGUCAAAAGUAAAGCUACUCUUAUUAUGGAACAGAGGGAGUAUAUCACUAAAAUAUUAAGAUAGUUGAUGAGUCAACUCACAGACUGCAUUCAUCCACCCGAUUUUUGUGCAGCUGAAAUGCAGGAAUAGCCCAUGCUCCACAGUUGCACCGCAUUCCUGCCCAAUUGAACGAACCCAGGCGACCUUUACAGCCAAUGCACUGCAGCUUCUGUCCCACAAAACCUUCUUGAACUGUCAGUUCACAAUACAACCCGAUGAGACAUUUAAUAGAACAAGUUGUUUAGGAAAGUGCAGUAUUCAGGAUUUUGAUGAAGAUAAACCUGCUUCCAUCCACUUCAUAGGCUCUACAUAAAUGGACGAACAUUCUGCUGGCUCUUCAUUCAUGUGCAAUGGUCCCCCCUUUUUCCCUGUCCACCUGAAACCUUUUUUAGCUCCAGGUUCAUGAGAAACUAUUUGCUCCUGUGAAGCAACAAUCCUUCGGCACUUCUUGCAGCGAUAGAUGAUUUGAGGUAUUGGCUCGGAUCUACAAUCUAAACUACUUGAUUCCUCC